UUUGUUGUUAAAAGAAGAACUUUUCUGAGAGUAACUGUUCAGGUAUUGACGGUAUUUACCCAGAAAGCCACGGCUAACUACGUGCCAGCAGCCGCGGUAAUACGUAGGUGGCAAGCGUUGUCCGGAUUUAUUGGGCGUAAAGCGAGCGCAGGCGGUUUUUUAAGUCUGAUGUGAAAGCCUUCGGCUCAACCGAAGAAGUGCAUCGGAAACUGGGAAACUUGAGUGCAGAAGAGGACAGUGGAACUCCAUGUGUAGCGGUGAAAUGCGUAGAUAUAUGGAAGAACACCAGUGGCGAAGGCGGCUGUCUGGUCUGUAACUGACGCUGAGGCUCGAAAGUAUGGGUAGCAAACAGGAUUAGAUACCCUGGUAGUCCAUACCGUAAACGAUGAAUGCUAAGUGUUGGAGGGUUUCCGCCCUUCAGUGCUGCAGCUAACGCAUUAAGCAUUCCGCCUGGGGAGUACGGCCGCAAGGCUGAAACUCAAAGGAAUUGACGGGGGCCCGCACAAGCGGUGGAGCAUGUGGUUUAAUUCGAAGCUACGCGAAGAACCUUACCAGGUCUUGACAUACUAUGCAAAUCUAAGAGAUUAGACGUUCCCUUCGGGGACAUGGAUACAGGUGGUGCAUGGUUGUCGUCAGCUCGUGUCGUGAGAUGUUGGGUUAAGUCCCGCAACGAGCGCAACCCUUAUUAUCAGUUGCCAGCAUUAAGUUGGGCACUCUGGUGAGACUGCCGGUGACAAACCGGAGGAAGGUGGGGAUGACGUCAAAUCAUCAUGCCCCUUAUGACCUGGGCUACACACGUGCUACAAUGGAUGGUACAACGAGUUGCGAACUCGCGAGAGUAAGCUAAUCUCUUAAAGCCAUUCUCAGUUCGGAUUGUAGGCUGCAACUCGCCUACAUGAAGUCGGAAUCGCUAGUAAUCGCGGAUCAGCAUGCCGCGGUGAAUACGUUCCCGGGCCUUGUACACACCGCCCGUCACACCAUGAGAGUUUGUAACACCCAAAGUCGGUGGGGUAACCUUUUAGGAACCAGCCGCCUAAGUGACAGAGAUGU
rnacentral:rRNA from 1 species